UCAAAGUUGAUCAUUGAACUUAGGUAAAAAAUUUGAAUCAUUUAAUUUUGUUAUAACAUACACGUGAACAUGUAGACGAUCUUGCCUUUUGAAUUAAAGAAAAUUUUAAUUUCUGAUUAAUUCCGCAUUCCAACAACUGGUAUCAAAGCAAUUUAGAUCGUUAAUGUGCUUGUUAUUGAUUGCAUGUUCUAGUCGAACGAUGUCUAGG
rnacentral:lncRNA from 1 species